rnacentral:rRNA from 1 species
UACGAAGGGUGCAAGCGUUGUUCGGAUUUAUUGGGCGUAAAGCAUUCGUAGGUGGUUUUUUAAGUAGUCUGUGAAAGCCCCGAGCUCAACUCGGGAACUGCAGACUAAACUGAUUAACUAGAGCAUGAUAGAGGAAAGCGGAAUUUCAAGUGUAGGGGUAAAAUCCUUAGAUAUUUGAAGGAACACCAGUUGCGAAAGCGGCUUUCUGGGUCAUUGCUGACACUGAGGGAUGACAGCGUGGGGAGCAAACAGG